ACGGGAGGCAGCAGUCGGGAAUAUUGCGCAAUGGAGGAAACUCUGACGCAGUGACGCCGCGUAUAGGAAGAAGUUUUUCGGAAUGUAAACUAUUGUCGUUAGGGAAGAGAAAGGACGGUACCUAAGGAGGAAGCCCCGGCUAACUAUGUGCCAGCAGCCGCGGUAAUACAUAGGGGGCAAGCGUUAUCCGGAAUUAUUGGGUGUAAAGGGUGCGUAGACGGGAAAUUAAGUUAGUUGUGAAAUCCCCAGGCUUAACUUGGGAACUGCAACUAAAACUGGUUUUCUUGAGUACUGGAGAGGAAAGUGGAAUUCCUAGUGUAGCGGUGAAAUGCGUAGAUAUUAGGAGGAACACCAGUGGCGAAGGCGACUUUCUGGACAGAAACUGACGUUGAGGCACGAAAGUGUGGGGAGCAAACAGGAUUAGAUACCCUGGUA
rnacentral:rRNA from 2 species